AAAAACAUUGCUUCUUGUAAGAAGUAAUUCCUGCCCAGUGAUUCAACGGCCGCGGUAUCCUAACCGUGCAAAGGUAGCAUAAUCACUUGCCCAUUAAUUGUGGGCUAGAAUGAAAGGAUCAACGAAAUAAAAACUGUCUCUAUAAGAUCAAUAAAAAUUAAUCUCUAACUGAAGAACGUUAGAUUUUAUCGAAGGACAAGAAGACCCUAUAGAGCUUCAUUUUAGUAAAAAAAUUUGGGAUUCGGUUGGGGCGACCGGGGAAAUUUAUAAUCAUCCCCCAUAAAAGACUAAUAGGUCAUACUUCUGACCCUUAACAAAGAUCAUCAAAAAAGCUACCUUAGGGAUAACAGGCUAAUCUCACUAAAGAGUCCUUAUCAAUAGUGGGGUUUGGCACCUCGAUGUUGGCUUAGGGAAUCUAUACGGCGCAAAAGUCAUAUAAAGAUGGUUUGUUCAACCAAUAACACCCUACAUGAUCU
rnacentral:rRNA from 1 species